UACGUAGGUGUCGAGCGUUGUCCGGAUUUAUUGGGCGUAAAGAGCCCGCAGGCGGCUUGGCAAGUUUGAGGUGAAAUCUCCCGGCUUAACUGGGAGGGGGCCUCGAAAACUGCCAGGCUUGAGGCAUGGAGAGGGAUGCGGAAUUCCCGGUGUAGUGGUGAAAUGCGUAGAUAUCGGGAGGAACACCAGAGGCGAAGGCGGCGACCUGGACAAGUACUGACACUCAACUACGAAAGCGUGGGGAGCAAACAGG
rnacentral:rRNA from 1 species